AUGGACUGGACCUGGAGGAUCCUCUUCUUGGUGGCAGCAGCUACGGGUGCCCAGUCCCAGGUACAGCUGGUUCAGUCUGGGGCUGAGGUGAAGAAGCCUGGGGCCUCAGUGAAGGUCUCCUGCAAGGCUUCUGGAUACACCUUCACCAACUACUACAUGCAGUGGGUGCAACAGGCCCCUGGACAAGGGCUUGAGUGGAUGAGAGAGUUCAACACUCGCAAUGGUAACACACAAUAUGCACAGGAGUUCCAGGGCAGAGUCACCAUAACCAGGGACACGUCCACAAGCACAGCCUACAUGGAGCUGAGCAGCCUGAGAUCUGAGGACACAGCUGUGUAUUACUGUGUGAGAGACACAGUAUGA